rnacentral:rRNA from 1 species
UCACUUGUCUGUAAUAUGUAUGUGGCAAGUGUUGUCCGUAGUUAUUUUAUGUUUCGGGCUCUUAUUCGUUUCUUAUGUCUGAUGUGAAAAUACUCGGCUCAACCGGGGAGGGUCAUUUGAAACUGGGGAAUUUUUGUCAGAAGAGGAGACCGGAAUUCCACGUGUAGCGGUGAAAUGUGUAGAGAUGUUGAGGAACACCAGUGGCGAAGGCGACUUUUUGGUCUGUAACUGACGCUGAGGAGCGAAAGCGUGGGGAGCGAACAGGAUUAGAUACCCCGGUAGUCCACGCCGUAAACGAUGAGUGAUAAGUGUUAGGGGGUUUCCGCCCCUUAGUGUUGCAGCUAUACGGCGCAUCA